rnacentral:rRNA from 1 species
CAUUCUCAGUUCGGAUUGUAGGCUGAAACUCGCCUACAUGAAGCUGGAGUUACUAGUAAUCGCAGAUCAGAAUGCUGCGGUGAAUGCGUUCCCGGGUCUUGUACACACCGCCCGUCACACCACGGAAGUUGGGGGCGCCCGAAGCCACUUAGCUAACCCUUUUGGGAAGCGAGUGUCGAAGGUGAAAUCAAUAACUGGGGUGAAGUCGUAACAAGGUAAC